AAUAAGUGUAUUUUUAGUACUGUUCAUGUCUAACGUUUGACCAUUCGUUUUAUUUAAAAAAAGAUUAUGAUUAGUAUUUUUAUUGUUAUUAGAUGAUAAAACAUGAAUAGUACUUUAUGUGUGACUAAUUGUUUUAAUAUUUUUCAUAAAUUUUUUAAAUAAGACGGAUGGUCAAAACGCUGAGCACGUAUACCUAUGGCUACACUUAUU
rfam:Oryza glaberrima chromosome 12 Oglab12_0314_1, whole genome shotgun sequence.